rnacentral:hammerhead_ribozyme from 1 species
AUCCAGCUGAGGAAUCUGAAGCAGGAUGAAACGUACGUCCUGUAU